rnacentral:rRNA from 1 species
UGUACGUAGUAGUGAAGGGAAACCGGAACGAGCCUUCGGGCAGCGUAGACAGGUGCUGCAUGGCUGUCGUCAGCUCGUGUCGUGAGAUGUUGGGUUAAGUCCCGCAACGAGCGCAACCCGUGUUGCUAGUUACAAGUGUCUAGCGAGACUGCCGGUAACAAGCCGGAGGAAGGUGCGGAUGAUGUCAAGUCAGCAUGGCCUAUAUGUCCAGGGCUACACACACGCUACAAUGGCUGGUACAAAGAGAAGCGAAAGGGAGACCUGAAGCGAAUCUCAUCAAAGCCAGUCAUAGUUCGGAUUGCAGGCUGCAACUCGCCUGCAUGAAGUCGGAGUUGCUAGUAACCGCAGGUCAGCAAUACUGCGGUGAAUACGUUCCCGGGCCUUGUACACAC